rnacentral:sRNA from 1 species
UAUUCUAUCAUUAUUUUCUACUUGUUAUUUCUGUUUUGUCUAUUUUAGCUUCAGUCUCAAUGAAAGAUGCUUCACUUAGCAGACCCCUUUCCAGAGUCAAGUAUCCAUCUAGCAGUCAUUCUCUAAAUGGGCCUAAAGUCAGGGUCUGAAGAGCAUGAGAAGUAGUACAUGAAUGUAGCAGUUCCGACUUGCCAGAGUUUCAAUCAGAGUUCAUGACUUACUGCUUUCUUGCAAAUUUUUCAUUUGGUAUUGUGUUUAAAAUCAAUAUUUACGUUAGUUGAUCAUCUUGCACAUUAAAAAUGGCAUUAAAAGUAUUGCUAAAGUAAAUUUUAAUGGCCUUAAUUUAAAAGCAAUGACUUCUGUGAUAUUUCAUAUUUGUUUUUAUAAUUUUAAUUCUAGUUAAAAAGGAUGAAAGUACAACUGUUUGUCAAAUAUUGUAGAUCUAUAAAAACAUGUAUAUAUUUUUGUUAACAUAUAUUGAUUCAAUACCUGAGUGAUAUGUGGUUUUGGUUUUUGACUAGCUUAAAUUUUAUAAUAUUUUUUUUUAAAUACCAAGAAAAGACUCUAUGAAAGUUGUAGGUUAGGUUUAUCAUCUCUCUAUAUUUAAUUUCUUUUAUCUACACCUGAUUAUUAUAAACAUCUGGGAUUGACUUCGGUUAUAAAGUUGAAAGUGAUCAAAUAUAAAUCAUACUUAUUUUUAGUCUAUAAAAACUUUGACUAGAUGUUUUAUGAAAAUAUCAAUUCAAGAAAUAAUAAACAUUUUAUUCUCAUUUCUAAGUGA